CACACUUGCUGCACAAUGAUGAUGUCACUGAUUCUACUGCUGGUCACCCUGGGGCUCCUUGUUCAGGAUUCAUCAGGAGAAAUCAUCUUGACUCAGUCUCCUGGAUCUCAGUCUGUUGUUACAGGACAGACUGUCUUUAUCAGAUGUAAAUCCAGUACACAAAUAGGUGAUGACAUUGACUGGUACCUUCAGAAACAUGGAGAAGCUCCUAAACUGCUGAUUGUGGAUACUACAGCCCGUCAGUCUGGAGUUUCAGAUCGUUUUAGUGCAACAGCGCAUCAUAAGACUGACUUUACUUUGACCAUCCGUGGAGUUCAGACUGUAGAUGCAGGAGUUUAUUACUGUCAGCAGCAUAACAGCCGCCCGUUCACACGGUGA